rnacentral:rRNA from 1 species
GGCAGGGGGCGUCUAUACAUGCAGUCGAGCGAACGGACGAGAGUGCUUGCCUCUCUGAUGUUAGCGGCGGACGGGUGAGUAACACGUGAGUAACCUACCUAUAAGACUGGGAUAACUUCGGGAAACCGGAGCUAAUACCGGAUAAUAUUUAGCUUCGCAUGAAGCAAUAGUGAAAGAUGGUUCUGCUGUCACUUAUAGAUGGACCCGCGGUGUAUUAACUAGUUGGUGAGGUAACGGCUCACCAAGGCAACGAUACAUAGCCGACCUGAGAGGGUGAUCGGCCACACUGGGACUGAGACACGGCCCAUACUCCUACGGGAGGCAGCAGUAGGGAAUCUUCCGCAAUGGACGAAAGUCUGACGGAGCAACGCCGCGUGAGUGAAGAAGGUUUUCGGAUCGUAAAACUCUGUUGUAAAGGAAGAACAAGUACGUUAGUAACUGAACGUACCUUGACGGUACCUUACCAGAAAGCCACGGCUAACUACGUGCCAGCAGCCGCGGUAAUACGUAGGUGGCAAGCGUUAUCAGGAAUUAUUGGGCGUAAAGCGCGCGUAGGCGGUCUCUUACGUCUGAUGUGACCCCCCCCGGCUCAACCGGGGAGGGUCAUUGAAAACUGGGAUACUUGAGUGCAGAAGAGGAGAGUGUAAUUCCAUGUGUAGCGGAUGAGAUGCGCAGAGAUAUGGAGGAACACCAGUGACGAAGGCUGCUCUCUGGUCUGUAACUGACGCUGAGGUGCGAAAGCGUGAGGGAUCAAACAGGAUUAGAUACGCUGGUCGUCCACGCCGUAAACGAUGACUGCUAGUGUGGGGGGGUCUUCCGCCCCAUCACUGCUGCAGCUAACGCAUGAAGUCCUCCGGCGGAGUAGUACGGUCACAAGACUGAAACUCAAAAUAUAUUUGGACGG